rnacentral:rRNA from 1 species
AUUGAACGCUGGCGGCAGGCCUAACACAUGCAAGUCGAACGGUAGCACAGAGGAGCUUGCUCCUUGGGUGACGAGUGGCGGACGGGUGAGUAAUGUCUGGGAAACUGCCCGAUGGAGGGGGAUAACUACUGGAAACGGUAGCUAAUACCGCAUAACGUCGCAAGACCAAAGAGGGGGACCUUCGGGCCUCUUGCCAUCGGGUGUGCCCAGAUGGGAUUAGCUAGUAGGUGAGGUAACGGCUCACCUAGGCGACGAUCCCUAGCUGGUCUGAGAGGAUGACCAGCCACACUGGAACUGAGACACGGUCCAGACUCCUACGGGAGGCAGCAGUGGGGAAUAUUGCACAAUGGGCGCAAGCCUGAUGCAGCCAUGCCGCGUGUAUGAAGAAGGCCUUCGGGUUGUAAAGUACUUUCAGCGAGGAGGAAGGCGUUGUGGUUAAUAACCGCAGCGAUUGACGUUACUCGCAGAAGAAGCACCGGCUAACUCCGUGCCAGCCGCCGCGGUAA